rnacentral:rRNA from 1 species
GACAGAGGAUGCAAGCGUUAUCCGGAAUUAUUGGGCGUAAAGCGCACGUAGGCGGCUUUGCAAGUCCCAUGUGAAAUCCCACGGCUCAACCGUGGAAGUGCAUGGGAAACUGCAGAGCUUGAGUACUUAAGAGGAUCGCGGAAUUCCCGGUGUAGAGGUGAAAUUCGUAGAUAUCGGGAGGAACACCAGUGGCGAAGGCGGCGAUCUGGGAAGAUACUGACGCUGAGGUGCGAAAGCGUGGGGAGCAAACAGG